GCAAGUCGAGCGCUCACCUUCGGGUGGGAGCGGCGGACGGGUUAGUAACGCGUGGGAACAUACCCUUUUCUAUGGAAUAGCCUCGGGAAACUGAGAGUAAUACCAUGUACGCCCUUCGGGGGAAAGAUUUAUCGGUGAAGGAUUGGCCCGCGUAAGAUUAGAUAGUUGGUGGGGUAAUGGCCUACCAAGUCUACGAUCUUUAGCUGGUUUGAGAGGAUGAUC
rnacentral:rRNA from 1 species